rnacentral:rRNA from 1 species
UACGGGGGGGGUAAGCGUUGUUCGGAAUUACUGGGCGUAAAGCGUGCGCAGGCGGUUGUGCAAGACAGAUGUGAAAUCCCCGGGCUUAACCUGGGAAUUGCAUUUGUGACUGCACGGCUAGAGUGUGUCAGAGGGGGGUAGAAUUCCACGUGUAGCAGUGAAAUGCGUAGAUAUGUGGAGGAAUACCGAUGGCGAAGGCAGCCCCCUGGGAUAACACUGACGCUCAUGCACGAAAGCGUGGGGAGCAAACAGG